rnacentral:lncRNA from 10 species
UGCCCGUGCUUUCACCGUGCAAUGUGCCUGCUCCUGCUUUGCCUUCUGUCAUGAUUGGAAGCUUCCUGAGACCUCCCCAGAAGCAUAUGCCACCAUGCUUCCUGUACAGACUGCAGAACUGAAACAUUGCAGCGUUAUAAGAGAAAUUAUAGACUAUUUGUUGAAGCUCAGCAUGUCCAUCUCCCUGCUUUGAAGAAGGCAAGCUUCAUUAAAACCAACAUCUUACUUGGCCUAAAACAUCUUUGGAGUAGGAGAUUUAUGGCCUUUCUGGGAAAGUAGUUCUA